rnacentral:rRNA from 1 species
UACGGAGGGUGCAAGCGUUAUCCGGAUUCACUGGGUUUAAAGGGUGCGUAGGUGGGCAGGUAAGUCAGUGGUGAAAUCUCCGGGCUUAACCCGGAAACUGCCGUUGAUACUAUUUGUCUUGAAUAUUGUGGAGGUAAGCGGAAUAUGUCAUGUAGCGGUGAAAUGCUUAGAUAUGACAUAGAACACCAAUUGCGAAGGCAGCUUACUACACAACGAUUGACGCUGAGGUGCGAAAGCGUGGGGAGCAAACAGG